GACGAACGCUGGCGGCGUGCUUAACACAUGCAAGUCGAACGGCAAGGCCCUGCUUUUGUGGGGUGCUCGAGUGGCGAACGGGUGAGUAACACGUGAGUAACCUGCCCUUGACUUUGGGAUAACUUCAGGAAACUGGUGCUAAUACCGGAUAGGAGCUCCUGCUGCAUGGUGGGGGUUGGACAGUUUCGGCGGUUGGGGCUGGUCUCGCCGCUUAUCAGCUUGUUUGUGGGGUAGUGGCUUACCAUGGCGUUGACGGGUAGCCGGCCUGAGAGGGUGACCUGCCACAGUGCGACAGAGGUACUGCAUAGACACGUACGGGGGCCAGAGCUGUCGGAUACUGAACUAGGCUCGGAAACCCAGCGGUAGACCGCCGCGCGGGGGAUGAACGCCCUGGGCUUGCAACCCGCUUUCGCCUGGCACGAAGCGAGAGUGACGGUAACGUGUAAAGAAGCACGCGAUAAUUAGGUG
rnacentral:rRNA from 1 species